rnacentral:rRNA from 1 species
UACGGGGGGGGCAAGCGUUGUUCGGAAUUACUGGGCGUAAAGGGCUCGUAGGUGGCCAACUAAGUCAGACGUGAAAUCCCUCGGCUUAACCGGGGAACUGCGUCUGAUACUGGAUGGCUUGAGUUUGGGAGAGGGACGCGGAAUUCCAGGUGUAGCGGUGAAAUGCGUAGAUAUCUGGAGGAACACCGGUGGCGAAGGCGGCAUCCUGGACCGAUAUUGACGCUGAGGCGCGAAAGCCAGGGGAGCAAACGGG